GUAAAUGUACCUCAAUAAUAUGAAUGUUCAGGUUUAGAUUGUACAGUGAUAUUUAUUAUGCAAGUUUAGCUGAUCAAAGUUUGACUAUGCACUACAAUAUUAUUUAUUAUUUAAAUUUACAUCAUUAUUAUAAUAUUUAGUGUCAGACUCUACAGUAUUGAGAUUAAGAAAUUAAAUAUUCUAUAAAAUGUAAAUACACUGAACUGAUUUGGAUAUAUUUAAGUGAGACUCUACAAUAUUAUUUGACACAAAUCUAUCAAAAUCAAAAUUUUAAUCAUUUUUACUCCAAACAUUUACUGGACUGAUUUAAAUAUUAAAAUCACUCCUUUCUAGUCCUCUGCUGUACGUUCAAACCUGAGGCCUGAAAGAGAAACACACAAGUAUCUGUUUGAAGGAACUUCUGCAGAGUCCUGGUUCCAGAACAUGAGAGAAUUAUAGACAAACUUUAACAAAAGCUGCCUGAGAGUUUACAGGUUUUUAUGUUAGAUUUCUUCAGUAUUUUAAUGAGAGUUAUCAGCAAAAAUCAAGUGUUCAUUUGAUGAACUUCAUUUCCUAAAAUAUCCAGAAUUGGAGCUCUUUGGCAGCUGUAAAGUUUCUGCUCCUUCAAAGCUCACAACACAAUGAAUGAAUUCCCAAAACACUCGCAAUGCUGGAGAGCGUUUGUGCUGCUGAAGCAGUGACCAGUUUUUCUGUUUCUUCUCUGGAGAUGCACAAUGAGGGACGUCUGCAGUCACUGAGAAAGAGUCUCACCACAUCCUGACACGAGGAAAAAGACUUUAUUGAAGACGACAAUGAGAAAAACUAUCAGACAGCAGACGGCAUGCAUUCAAGGUGAGCUCUGAACAUCUGAUCUGGAACAGGAAUUCAAUAACGGCAGCAUGAGCUUCAUUUCUGUAGCUGCUGAAUUCAUGGAUGAAUCAUCUGGCACUAGAGAUGAAGACCAUCAAACAUCCACAUCAGCUGAUGGAGGUCCAAGAGUCUCGCUGAACAACCUACAGAGUGAAGACCUCUAACCUGAUUGGACAGCCUCCUAUUCAGCCACACGUGUGAACAAAUGGCUCUAAGUUGAUUUGUUUUCUAAAAUAAAUCUAGUUUGAGUCCUAAUCUAUGCCUGUGUGUUUGCUUCUUUAAACCGCUAUUGACAGUUUAGGCUGUUAGAUUGUUCCAGAUAAGACAAGUACAAGAUCCUUCAGAGUCAUUCUACCCCGAGCCUGACAGGAAGAACUCCAACGGCUACUGAAUGUUCCUGUGGUCCCCUCAAGGCUACAGGAGGAGUCCUACGAGGACGAGCUGGUCCACCUGAUGCCAUCCAGUCGCUGCGGUUCAAAGCCAACACAGACGACGUGGACUUCUACUGGACCACACGGAGGCCUUCAAACCGGAACAACAAGUUCACCGACUGGUGGGUCUGAGGAUGCCACCGAGCCUCGGCCCAGCCGGCCGCCUGUCUGUGGGUGUUUGAUGUUUGGUGAGAGGUUUGUGGGUGCAUGUGAACGUGUCUGUGUUGGAACAGCAGCUUUUGACUCUGUGACGCCGGUAAAAACCAAGAGCUCCUUUAUUUGUGACUUCCACUUAAAAAAAAUGAUGAAAAUAAGUUUGCCAGGGUUCUGACUGAUAACAGAUUAUUAAAUAAUGAAAACAAUCCUUUUAGGUCUACAUUUCUUUUACACUGACUUCUAGGUAUAUGUACAACUAUUUUGGGUGGAAUAUACCAUUAAGCUCAAUGUGCAAGGGUUCUUCUGGGAAUAUACCAUGAAACCAACCUUUUAGGUAAAUGUUCCAGGAUGUUGGGUAUAUAUACCAUCAGAUAAACCUUUUAGGUCUACAUUGGAAGAUUUUAGAGUAGAAUAUUACUCCAAACCAUCCUUUAGGUCUACAUAUAAGUUGGAAUACUCUUUUACACCAAGAUUUUUUGGUCUACAUUGAAGGAUUUUAGGUGGAAUAUUCCUUUGAACAAACUUUUUAAGUUCAUGUUCAAGGAUGUUGGAUGGAAUAUACCAUCAGACCAACCUCCAAGGUCGACAGUAGUGAAUUUUAAGUGGAAUAUACCACUAAACUCACCUUUUAGGUCUACAUUGGAGGACUUUAGGUGGAAUUUUCUUCCAAAUCGUCUUUUAGUUUACAUUUAAGGAUGUUUAGGAAGGUAAAUUCUUCCAAACCAACUUCUCAGGUCUACAUUUCAGGUAGAAUAUUCCUCCAUACUAACUUUUUUGGUCUACAUUGAAUACUAUAGACUCUUGAGGUUUUAGGUCGAAUAUUCCUUUUAACCAGCCCCUCAGGUCUCUUUGAGGAUUUUGGAUGGAAUACUCAGUUAAACCAACACUGUAGGUGCAUGCCCAGGGAUUUUUGGUCAAUGUUCCUUUAAGGUUGAUGUGAGGACCUUGUAGGUGGAAUACUUCCUGAAACCAUCCUUUUAGGUCAACAUUCAAAAAUUUAAGCUGGAAAAUUCCUUUAAACCAACCCAAAUUUCAUGUUUUGAUCAUUAUCAAGUGAGAAACCUCAAUCCAGACUCCUCAUAAUGAUGUUUGAGACUUAUGCUGCUUAUUCAGCUGAACUAAAGACAGAUUUUGUGAUUGUUCUGCUCACAUGUUGUGUUGCUGUAAACUUACUCUUUCAAAUAAAUAGCCUCCUAACCCCCUAGAAACCAGCGUUUGUCCUGUUCUCGUGUUGUUCCUCGGCGACCCUAGACAGCCGGUCGUAAUGUUUUUUGAGCAACACACCAUACUAUGAUGUUUUUAUAAUGAUGGUUGUACUAUGAAACCAGUUUGACAAGUUCAGGUGUUCUUUGUGUGAAAACACAGAGAUUUCAGGUAUCAGAAGGUGGUUUUCAACUUUCUUUGUGAACUUUCUGCGCAACUUUAAACUAAAUUUACUUCACUAACCCAGCCCUCUGGACUUCCAGUAAGUUGUGUUCCCAGUAGCUGUCUAGGUGGCUGCUUGGUGUUAUCAGGAACACCUGAGCAGCUCAGUGUCUUCCUGCCUUAUGGCAGCAGUCAAACAUUUCCUCUGCUUCUCUUCACUGAACCGGGUUUGGCUCCAUUGCUUUAGUUUGUUCUUUAGGCGUUGGCUUGCAGCUUCCAGCAGUAAAAUCGACUUUAAUGUGUUUCUUGGUGUGUUUUAGGGCUUUGUACUGGAUAGUUGUCUUGGUAAAUGUGGUUCUUUAGCCACAGUUAGCACAUGGUGCUAAUGUGUGCAGUGAUUAGUGGAUUUGAUGCAGCUGAGUUGUGUCUUUAUCUUGGCUGUAGUGAGUCUUUGGAGGUUUUUGGUCAGACACAUUCUGUAUUCUUGUUUAUGAACCAAUGUUGGUUGUCCAGAAGGUAAGAGUUCCUGUCCUGAUUCUGUUUAGAGGUUCUCUGGUAGGCUGCAGGAGACUUUAGCGUUUGGGUUGUGCUAGUUACCUCCGCCAAGGAAGUUAUGUGACACCCGGCGUUUGUGUGUCUGUCUGUCUGUUAGCAAGAUAACUCAAAAACGCCUGGGCAGAUUCACAUGAAAUUUUCAGGGGAUGUAGACUAUGGUAAGAGGAAGAGCUGAUUUAAUUUUGGUGGCAAUCCGGAAAGGAUCCUGGAUUCUGGAUCACUUUGAAUUUUUUAGUAUGUGGUCCAAAAUAUGACAAAAACAUCAUAGGUUAGUAUGUCGUCCAACAAAUUGGAGCAAGGUGUCCAGAUAGCUCAACUGGUUAAGAAGGUGAUUUGUAAACAGAACUGUGUCAGAGACGCAGGUUUGAUUCCAGCUUAUGAUCCUUUACUGCAUUGGGUUUCUUGUUUUCUUCUCUCCCUGUUGAUUAAUUAAGAAUGGAAUAAAACAUUUCCAUGAAAAAAAAGAGAAAUACGUGGGUCCCGCUUGAUUUCACAAUUUCCGCAUAAAAUGAGAAAACCAAUAUAAAUGGAGUUGUGAGUGAGUUUUUAUGUGACGCCCGACCUGACGUCGUCAGUUCGCACAUUCACACACACAGAAGCACGAGCUGAUGCGGAGCGUGGUGCUCAGAGACCAAAAACAACAAUGGCGAAUGCUCAAAGAUCACAUUUACCUAUGAAUAUUUCAGCCAGAGACCGGUGUUAUGAGAGUGUGUGGCUCCGUUAUGAGAGAGGGAGAGAGAGAGUGAUCUGACCCUGAAUGCAGCUCGAGCGAGAGAGACAGCAGUCGGUUCGGGAGCCGAGCAGGAAGGGUUAACACCGGGCAAAACAGUACCCAGAUUUACUGCACGAAAGUGGGGGGAAACUUUUUUGCACCCCGUGCAACAUCAUUCUGGAGCACCGAAGAAAAUCAACCGUGUUGCAGCACUUCUCCACGAUGAAGCACAGCAAAAGAUUUGCCGAACACAAAGGACUCAAACAACAACUUAGUGGUAGCCUAGUAACAGGAUGUAGGAGAAGAAUCACCUUUUUUUCCCAGUUCUUACAUAUUUCGCAUCUUUUUGCAUAUUUCACAACUUUUCGCAUACUUUGCAACUUUCCGCAAUUCCGCGGAAUCAAGGAUUUUUGCCCGCGUGUUUCUGGAGGGUCUAGUUUAGGGUGCUACUGCGGUGUGGUUUUGGGUUUUAAGAGGUGAACAGGAAGAGUUUAUUUGUAUUGAUGAUCUUUUACUUUGUUCCUGGUUGGAAUGCCCAUCAAUGUGAACUUCACUUUUAGUUCUGUUUACUUAUUUUUAUUUUACUAACACCCAUUUGCUUUUAACCCCCUCACAUGUUGUGUUGUUGUAAACUUACUCUUUCAAAUAAAUACUCGUCUAACCCUCUGGAAA